rnacentral:rRNA from 1 species
AGAGUUUGAUCCUGGCUACAGACGAACGCUGGCGGCAGGCUUAACACAUGCAAGUCGAACGCUCGUAGCAAUACGGGAGUGGCGGACGGGUGAGUAACGCGUGGGAACGUGCCCUGAGGUACGGAAUAACUGAGGGAAACUUCAGCUAAUACCGUAUGAGCCCCGAGAGGGGGAAAGAUUUAUCGCCUUGGGAGCGGCCCGCGUCGGAUUAGCUAGUUGUGGGGUAACGGCCUACCAAGGCUUCGAUCCGUAGCUGGUCUGAGAGGACGAUCAGCCACACUGGGACUGAGACACGGCCCAGACUCCUACGGGAGGCAGCAGUGGGGAAUCUUGCGCAAUGGGGGCAACCCUGACGCAGCCAUGCCGCGUGAACGAUGUAGGCCUUAGGGUUGUAAAGUUCUUUUACCCGUGACGAUGAUGACGGUAACGGGGGAAUAAGCUCCGGCUAACUUCGUG